AUCGGGCCACAUUUGGGACUGAGACACGGGCCCAAACUCCUACGGGAGGCAGCAGUAGGGGAAUCUUUCGGCAAUGGACGAAAAGUCUGACCGAGCAACGCCGCGUGAGUGAAGAAGGUUUUCGGAUCGUAAAACUCUGUUGUUAGAGAAGAACAAGGAUGAGAGUAACUGUUCAUCCCUUGACGGUAUCUAACCAGAAAGCCACGGCUAACUACGUGCCAGCAGCCGCGGUAAUACGUAGGUGGCAAGCGUUGUCCGGAUUUAUUGGGCGUAAAGCGAGCGCAGGCGGUUUCUUAAGUCUGAUGUGAAAGCCCCCGGCUCAACCGGGGAGGGUCAUUGGAAACUGGGAGACUUGAGUGCAGAAGAGGAGAGUGGAAUUCCAUGUGUAGCGGUGAAAUGCGUAGAUAUAUGGAGGAACACCAGUGGCGAAGGCGGCUCUCUGGUCUGUAACUGACGCUGAGGCUCGAAAGCGUGGGGAGCAAACAGGAUUAGAUACCCUGGUAGUCCACGCCGUAAACGAUGAGUGCUAAGUGUUGGAGGGUUUCCGCCCUUCAGUGCUGCAGCUAACGCAUUAAGCACUCCGCCUGGGGAGUACGACCGCAAGG
rnacentral:rRNA from 1 species